rnacentral:rRNA from 1 species
UGGGGAAUAUUGCACAAUGGGCGCAAGCCUGAUGCAGCAACGCCGCGUGAAGGAUGAAGGGUUUCGGCUCGUAAACUUCUUUAGGCAGGGACGAAUAAAUGACGGUACCUGCAGAAUAAGCCCCGGCUAACUACGUGCCAGCAGCCGCGGUAAUACGUAGGGGGCAAGCGUUAUCCGGAAUGACUGGGUGUAAAGGGUGAGUAGGCGGCUCGAUAAGUCAUAUGUGAAAUCCCACGGCUUAACCAUGGGACUGCAUAAGAAACUGUCAGGCUAGAGUACAGGAGAGGUAAGCGGAAUUCCUAGUGUAGCGGUGAAAUGCGUAGAUAUUAGGAAGAACACCAGUGGCGAAGGCGGCUUACUGGACUGAAACUGACGCUGAGUCACGAAAGCGUGGGGAGCGAACA